rnacentral:rRNA from 1 species
AUUGAACGCUGGCGGCAUGCCUUACACAUGCAAGUCGAACGGUAACGGGUCCUUCGGGAUGCCGACGAGUGGCGAACGGGUGAGUAAUAUAUCGGAACGUGCCCAGUAGUGGGGGAUAACUGCUCGAAAGAGCAGCUAAUACCGCAUACGACCUGAGGGUGAAAGGGGGGGAUCGCAAGACCUCUCGCUAUUGGAGCGGCCGAUAUCAGAUUAGCUAGUUGGUGGGGUAAAGGCCUACCAAGGCAACGAUCUGUAGUUGGUCUGAGAGGACGACCAGCCACACUGGGACUGAGACACGGCCCAGACUCCUACGGGAGGCAGCAGUGGGGAAUUUUGGACAAUGGGCGCAAGCCUAAUCCAGCAAUGCCGCGUGCAGGAAGAAGGCCUUCGGGUUGUAAACUGCUUUUGUCAGGGAAGAAAUCUUCUGGGCUAAUACCCCGGGAGGAUGACGGUACCUGAAGAAUAAGCACCGGCUAACUACGUG